rnacentral:rRNA from 1 species
GCGCUCGAGAGAGGAAAGCGGGGGACCUUCGGGCCUCGCGCUGUGGGAGGAGCCUACGUACCGAUUAGCUAGUUGGUGGGGUAAUAGCCUACCAAGGCGACGAUCGGUAGCUGGUCUGAGAGGAUGAUCAGCCACACUGGGACUGAGACACGGCCCAGACUCCUACGGGAGGCAGCAGUGGGGAAUAUUGGACAAUGGGCGAAAAGCCUGAUCCAGCAAUGCCGCGUGGGUGAAGACGGCCUGCGGGUUGUAAAGCCCUUUAGGCGGGGAGGAACGACGGGGCGUGAAUAACGUUUCGGAGUGACGUUACCCGCGGAAUAAGCACCGGCUAACUCCGUGCCAGCAGCCGCGGUAAUACGGAGGGUGCGAGCGUUAAUCGGAAUUACUGGGCGUAAAGCGUGCGUAGGCGGAUGGGUCAGUCAGCCGUGAAAGCCCCGGGCUUAACCUGGGAACGGCGGUUGAGACGGCCCGUCUUGAGUGGGCUAGAGGAUCGUGGAACUCCCGGUGUAGCGGUGAAAUGCGUAGAGAUCGGGAAGAACACCGAUGGC